CGCGUCGCGGGCAUCAGCACUGAGCCUUGUUAGAGACAAUGUCGAGUGAUUUGGUGGACACGGUCCCUCGAAUGGAGUAUGUGGAUCGCCACGAGUUGCUCCGGUCUCUCUUGACGACGGAGGAGUUCCGGGAGCGGCGGCAGGAGCAGCUCAACUACAGCGCCACCGUCUACGUGGGCAACUUGUCCUUCUACACGACUGAAGAGCAGGUGUACAAUCACUUCAGUCCUUGUGGACACAUCCGCGAUAUCGUGAUGGGCCUCAACGAGGCGACACGCUGUCCAUGCGGGUUCUGCUUUGUCGUGUUCGAGUCACAGGCGGCCGCGGUACUGGCGGUGCACGGACUCGACGGGUCACUGCUGGACGACCGCGUCGUGUCCGUGAGCUGGGAUGUGGGCUGCGACGGGAGUCGCCGCUGGGGCCGUGGCGCUCACGGCGGCCAAGUGGUAGACGGCGUUCGCCAAAACCUCGACGAGGGCCGCGGUGGCUUGGGUGCCCUGCGGCGCGACGCGCUGGGCGUGCCUGCCUCGACCGCGGAGGACGAGCUGGUCGCCUACGAUUGGGUAGAGGCUCCACCGAAGCGCAGAGGUGCCCACACAAAGUAGCCUUCGCUCAUGUACGUCUGCUUUGUUUUGCGCUUCGUGCUGACGAUGCUUGGACCCCAAACGCCGAAGCAACGCACGUUGGCAGCUGCAGACUGCAACCUCGCCUCGCCGGUGCACACUUGCGUUGACUGUAGCGUCCACUCACGCGAGGCCACACGCACGCACACGGUGGCAGCGCGAGUGGGCUGCGACAGUUGUGCUGCGCGUUAUGCGUGCUCUGCGUGGUGCAGCUGUGUAGCUUCCCCAGCGUGUGGGCCGCUUUUCCGAUCCCUUUCGAAUGCAGCGAGUGCGCGAGCCUUCCUUCCCGAGUAACAGAUCCGGAUGGCAUGAG
rnacentral:misc_RNA from 1 species